rnacentral:rRNA from 1 species
GUCUAACAUAUGUGCAAGUCAUUGAGUUAUAUUAAACUUAAUGGCAUAAUUAACUUAACUUAAAAAUAAUGGGAUUAAUUUUUAGUCUAUUUUCUUUAAAUAGUCAAUUAAUUCAAUCCCGGGGCGUUCCAUAUAGUUAUGUAUAAUGAUAAUUUAUUAUUAUUUAUACCUCUAACUGGAGCGUACCUUGAGCAUAUAUGCUGUGACCCGAAAGAUGGUGAACUAUACUUGAUCAGGUUGAAGUCAGGGGAAACCCUGAUGGAAGACCGAAACAGUUCUGACGUGCAAAUCGAUUGUCAGAAUUGAGUAUAGGGGCGAAAGACCAAUCGAACCAUCUA